CACGUGAUAGCGCAGUAGUAGCGCAUCGGACUCUUAAUCCGACGGACGCCGGUGCGAAUCCGGCUCACGUAU
rnacentral:tRNA from 1 species